UAAUCGCUGCGUCUGCCGGCCACAUAUUGGGGUUUUUUGCUAAAAAUAGAACUAGAUUUUUAUAUUAUCUUCGUCCUUCUCUACAUUAGAACAAUGAUUCUGUGUACUGUGUUUGUGACUUGUGUCUGAUAAAUGAUAGUUUAAUAGUUGGUACUCGGAUUAAAGUUGAUAUUAUUUUUCUUGAUUUAUAGCGGUGUCAGUGUGGUGACAGUUUUUUACCGAACGUACGAAUGUUUAGUUUAAACAUUUAUUAAUCUUGUUCAUCAUGGAUUUAUAUUUUACGCGCUUGUUGUUUUCCUCGCUUGGUGGUAGUUACCUUACUUUGUCAUGUCGAAGAAAAUCGAUCUUUUUAACAUUUUUUUAAAUGAAACCACAGAAAUCAAUUAGGUAAGAGUUAAAAGUUUUGAUUUGCAAUACUAUCCCUUAAAGAUGCUUCUAGUUUAAAUAGUACAAUAUUUAACAUAGUUACCAAACCGGUAGAACAUUCAUAUGAACUAAGUUCGAUGGGUCCUAAAGAUUUAGGAAACAUAGAAACUGGACCAUUUUAGCCAAAACUUCAAACGUAUCCAAAAAAGUGUUAUGGUUCCCAAAAUCAUGGGUUUUCUACAUCAUACUUUGCUGAAUUUAAUUGGCUGGAAUAUAACAUAGAAACUGACUCAGUUUAUUGUUUUCCUUGUUGGAUUUUUGGUACUAAACCUUCAGAAGAAACAUUUACCUCAAAAGGGUUUAAUAACUGGAAAAAACUUAGUGGGUCUAAAGGUAUUGUCAAAGGUUCAGAAUCAAAAUUGCAACUGUAUUAAAGGAUUUUCAUGUUACAACUACCACUGGUGCAGAUGAUGGAUGUAUUCAAUAUGAGGAUAAUGCCAAAGAAUAUUGGAAAAACAUGCUUUUUAUCCAGUGGUUAAUAGUAUUAUAGUUAACAUGAAACACAAAUUUUUACCAGAAAGUCUAAAACUGGCCAUAUCAAUUGAUAACUUCAUUAAUCUAGACUAUAAACUAGGUGAAAUGUUUGUAAACCAGUAUAAGGCUUUAUUAAAUAUUAAUAAAACUGACUUAAAAUCAGAAAUGUUGGUUGCAAAAAAUUGUUACGACAAUCAAUUGGAAAACAUUAACAAUCAGGAACAUUUAAAGCAGCUGAAGAGUAUUGUUGAAAAAUCUGUUUUCCAAAUUAUACAAAAUGCUACAUUUAACGCUUGCAUUUCCAUCAAGUUCUGCAUGAUGUAAAAGAACAUUCUCAGCAAUGUGUCGAAUAAACACCUACAUAAGGUCGAUUAUGUUACCAAAUCGAUUUUCCAAGUUAGCAAUCAUAGCAAUUAAAAGCAAAAAAAAUUUAAUUGAUUUGUCAAACAUUCUAAACAAAAAAGACAUUUUAAAUAAAUUCACCAAUACUGAACGGAAGGCUUAAGC
rnacentral:misc_RNA from 1 species